UGAUACCCUAUUAUUUGAAGUGUAAAUUUAAAUUUCUUAAUAUUAUAAGUUUUGUUCUUUAAAUUGAAAAGAUUUGACGGUAAUUUUAAUCAUUUUAGAGGAACCUGUUCUGUAAUUGAUAAUCCACGAUAAAUUUUACCUUUAUUAAUAUAAUUUGUAUAUCUCUGUCUGGUAGAGUGUUUUAUUAGAAAUAAUUCUCAUGAAUUUUUAUUUGAAUUUUAUGUCAGGUCAAGGUGCAGUUAUAUAAAGGAUUGAAAUGGGUUACAUUUAAUUUUUGUAAUUAUUGGAUUAAAUUAUUUAUUUAAUUUAUUAAAUUGGAUUUAAUUGUAAUGUUAAAAUAUAUUAUCA
rnacentral:rRNA from 1 species